ACUCAAAAGCUAGCAUAAAAUUAAUAUUCAACACAUAAAUCUUAAUUCAUAUUAACACACUAAAAAAUAUAAUUAAACCAUUCUCCAAAUCUUAGUAUAGGUGAUAGAAAAGGAAAAUUUAGCUAUAGAUUAAGUACCGCAAGGGAAUGCUGAAAGAGAAAUGAAACAACACAGUAAAGUAAAGUAAAGCAGAGAUUAGAACUCGUACCUUUUGCAUCAUGAUUUAGCAAGAAUUUAUAAGCAAAAUGUUUUCUAGUUUUUAACCCCGAAACUAAGUGAGCUACUCCAAGACAGCCUAAGUAAUAGGGCAAACACGUCUCUGUAGCAAAAGAGUGUGAAGAUCUUUGAGUAGGGGUGACAGACCUACCGAACUUAGUUAUAGCUGGUUGUCUGAGAAUUAAAUAUAAGUUUAGCCUUUUAUUUUUUUAAUUUAAUUCUGAUUAAUCAUAAGAAUAAUAAAAGAAUAUAAAAGAGUUAUUCAUAAGGGGUUCAGCCCUUAUGAAAAAGGAUACAACCUUAAUAGGCGACUAAUGAACAUAUCUUAUAAAGUUAAUGUUUUAGUGGGCUUAAAAGCAGCCACCUAAGAAAAAAGCGUUAAAGCUUAAACAUAUUAUUUCUCUUAAUAAGGAUUAUUUCAUCAUACAUCCCUGAAUUUAUCAGACCCUUCCAUUACAUCUAUGGAAGAGAUUAUGCUAAUAUGAGUAAUAAGAAAGCUUUCUCCAAGCACCCCUGUAAUUAAGAACGGAAAAUCCUCCUAAAAUUAAACGGUCUCAACUAAAGAGAGAAUUAAAUAUCAAAAAGAUAACAAGAAAACUAUUUAACUAUAACCGUUAACCCUACACUGGUGUGCAUAAAAGGAAAGAUGAAAAGAAAAAGAAGGAAUUCAGCAAACAUACUAAAGCCUCGCCUGUUUACCAAAAACAUCGCUUCUUGACUCCCUAAGAUAAGAAGUCCCGCCUGCCCUGUGACAAAGUUUUAACGGCCGCGGUAUUUUGACCGUGCAAAGGUAGCGUAAUCACUUGUCUUUUAAAUAAAGACCUGUAUGAAUGGCAUAACGAGGGCUUAACUGUCUCCUUUUUCCCAUCAAUGAAAUUGAUCUCCCCGUGCAGAAGCGGGGAUAAGAACAUAAGACGAGAAGACCCUAUGGAUCUUUAGUCACAAGAAUAGAACAUUUACAAUCACCAACCUAAAAGGUGAAAUCUAAUGGAACCUAUUCAAGUGUCUUUGGUUGGGGCGACCACGGAGUAAAACACAACCUCCAUGAGGAAUGAAGACACUUCUUCCAAUCUAAGAGUAACAACUCUAAGAUAUAGAAAUUCUAACCAUAAUGAUCCGGCAAAACCGAUCAACGAACCAAGUUACCCUAGGGAUAACAGCGCAAUCCUCUUCUAGAGCCCAUAUCGACAAGAGGGUUUACGACCUCGAUGUUGGAUCAGGACAUCCUAAUGGUGCAACAGCUAUUAAGGGUUCGUUUGUUCAACGAUUAAAGUCCUACGUGAUCUGAGUUCAGACCGGAGUAAUCCAGGUCAGUUUCUAUCUAUGAAAUAUUUUACCCCAGUACGAAAGGACAGGGUAAAAAAGGCCAAUGACUCAUCAAGCCUUCUUCUUAACUAAUGAAGACAAAUAAAUAAGUAAAAGAAAAUACUUAUUUAGGAAAAGAUAAUUCCAC
rnacentral:rRNA from 1 species